GAUGAACGCUGGCUACAGGCUUAACACAUGCAAGUCGAGGGGAAACGACGGGGAAGCUUGCUUCCCCGGGCGUCGACCGGCGCACGGGUGAGUAACGCGUAUCCAACCUGCCUCUGACUGAGGGAUAACCCGUCGAAAGUCGGCCUAAUACCGCAUGGCAUCGUCUGCGGGCAUCCAACGACGAUUAAAGAUUUCAUCGGUCAGAGAUGGGGAUGCGUCUGAUUAGCUUGUUGGCGGGGUAACGGCCCACCAAGGCGACGAUCAGUAGGGGUGCUGAGGGGUAGGCCCCCCGCAUGGGAGCUGAGACACGGUCCAAACGCCUACGGGAGGAAGCAGUGAGGAAUAGUGGUCAAGGGGCGAGAGCCUGAACCAGCCAAGUAGCGUGCAGGAUGACGGGCCUAUGGGUUGUAAACUGCUUUUAUGCGGGGAUAAAGUGAGGGACGCGUCCUUCAUUGCAGGUACCGCAUGAAUAAGGACCGGCUAAUUCCGUG
rnacentral:rRNA from 1 species